rnacentral:rRNA from 1 species
AUUGAACGCUGGCGGUAUGCCUAACACAUGCAAGUCGAACGGCAGCACAGUAAGCUCUUGCUCUUCCGAGUGGCGAGUGGCGUAUGGGUGAGUAAUACGUCGGAAUCUACUUUUUCGUGGGGGAUAACGUAGUGCAGCUUACGCUCAUACCGCAUACGAGCUACGGCUGAAAGCAGCGCAUCUUCGGACCUUGCGCGAUUGAAUGAGCCGAUGUCGGAUUAGCUAGUUGGCGGGGUAAAGGCCCACCAAGGCGACGAUCCGUAGCUGGUCUGAGAGGAUGACCAGCCACACUGGAACUGAGACACGGUCCAGACUCCUACGGGAGGCAGCAGUGGGGAAUAUUGGACAAUGGGCGCAAGCCUGAUCCAGCCAUACCGCGUGGGUGAAGAAGGCCUUCGGGUUGUAAAGCCCUUUUGUUAGGAAAGAAAAGCAGCAGGUUAAUACCCCGCUGUUCUGACGGUACCCAAAGAAUAAGCACCGGCUAACUUCGUG